rnacentral:rRNA from 1 species
AAUAUUGCGCAAUGGAGGGAACUCUGACGCAGCGACGCCGCGUGAGCGAUGAAGGUCUNAGGAUCNUNAAGCUCUGUCCUUGGGGNCGAAGGUCUUCGGACUUGACGGUACCUAAGGAGGAAGCCCCGGCUAACUACGUGCCAGCAGCCGCGGUAAUACGUAGGGGGCAAGCGUUGUCCGGAAUUAUUGGGCGUAAAGGGUGCGUAGGCGGCUUUUUAAGUCAGAUGUGAAAGACCACAGCUUAACUGUGGGGUUGCAUUUGAAACUGGAGAGCUUGAGUAUCGGAGAGGGUAGUGGAAUUCCUGGAGUAGCGGUGAAAUGCGUAGAUAUCAGGAGGAACACCAGUGGCGAAGGCGACUACCUGGACGAAAACUGACGCUGAGGCACGAAAGCUAGGGGAGCAAACA